UACGUAGGGUGCAAGCGUUGUCCGGAAUUAUUGGGCGUAAAGAGCUCGUAGGCGGUCUGUCGCGUCGGCUGUGAAAACUCGGGGCUCAACUCCGAGCUUGCAGUCGAUACGGGCAGGCUAGAGUUCGGCAGGGGAGACUGGAAUUCCUGGUGUAGCGGUGAAAUGCGCAGAUAUCAGGAGGAACACCGGUGGCGAAGGCGGGUCUCUGGGCCGAUACUGAUGCUGAGGAGCGAAAGCGUGGGGAGCGAACAGG
rnacentral:rRNA from 1 species